rnacentral:rRNA from 1 species
UACGGAGGUUGCGAGCGUCGUUCGGAAUGACUGGGCGUAAAGGGAGCGCAGCCGGUUCGAUUAGUCUGGAGUGAAAGCCCGGGGCUCAACCCCGGAGGGUCUCCGGAUACUGUCGAACUCGAGUACGGAAGAGGAGAGUGGAAUUCCAGGUGUAGCGGUGAAAUGCGUAGAUAUCAGGAGGAACACCGGUGGCGAAGGCGGAUCUCUGGGCCUUGCCUGACGCUGAGGCGCGAAAGCUAGGGGAGCGAACAGG